rnacentral:rRNA from 1 species
UGGGCAACCUGCCCUCAGCUCUGGGAUAACUCCGGGAAACCGGGGCUAAUACCGGAUACGACCUUCCCUCGCAUGGGGGUUGGUGGAAAGUCCUUCGGCUGAGGAUGGGCCCGCGGCCUAUCAGCUUGUUGGUGGGGUGAUGGCCUACCAAGGCGACGACGGGUAGCCGGCCUGAGAGGGCGACCGGCCACACUGGGACUGAGACACGGCCCAGACUCCUACGGGAGGCA